rnacentral:tRNA from 1 species
CGCUCCCUAGCUCACUGGCAGAGCACCCAAACCACUGGGGAGGUACAAGGUUCGAUUCCUUGGGGAGCAC